rnacentral:rRNA from 1 species
UGGGGAAUAUUGCACAAUGGGCGCAAGCCUGAUGCAGCCAUGCCGCGUGUGUGAAGAAGGCCUUCGGGUUGUAAAGCACUUUCAGCGGGGAGGAAGGCGGUGAGGUUAAUAACCUCAUCGAUUGACGUUACCCGCAGAAGAAGCACCGGCUAACUCCGUGCCAGCAGCCGCGGUAAUACGGAGGGUGCAAGCGUUAAUCGGAAUUACUGGGCGUAAAGCGCACGCAGGCGGUCUGUCAAGUCGGAUGUGAAAUCCCCGGGCUCAACCUGGGAACUGCAUUCGAAACUGGCAGGCUAGAGUCUUGUAGAGGGGGGUAGAAUUCCAGGUGUAGCGGUGAAAUGCGUAGAGAUCUGGAGGAAUACCGGUGGCGAAGGCGGCUCCCUGGACAAAGACUGACGCUCAGGUGCGAAAGCGUGGGGAGCAAACAGG